GGUGGCCCCGAGGAGACAAGCGUGGCCGCAUUAGCUCUUUCUGCCUCCCACGCAGCCUUAUUUUUUUUAUUGUUGUUUUCUUGUUGCUGUUGUUGUUGUUCUCGGAGACGGAGUCUUGCUCUUGCUCUGUCGUCGCCCACGAUAGAGUACAGUGGCGUGAUCUCUGCUCACUGCAACCUCCGCCUCCUGGGUUCAAACAAUUCUGCCUCAGCCUCCGGAGUAGCUGGGAUUACAGGCGCGCGCCACUAUGCCCGGCUAAUUUUUGUGUUUUUAGUAAAGACGGGGUUUCACCAUGUCGGCCAGGCUGUUCUCGAACUCCUGACCUCGUGAUCCCUCCGUCUCGGCUUCCCAAAGUGCUGGGAUUACGGGCGUGAGCCACCGUGCCCGGCCGCAGCCUUGUUUUGACUGAGUCAGUGGGAGCCAUUACUGUUCCUAAAUGUAAACUGGCGUGACAGGAGUUCCGGGAUUGUCCACAGCACGGUGAUGUGGAAGCCCUGGGGAGAGAAUGAUAAAGAAAGGGGAUGAGGAACAGCUCCACCCGGAAGAGCGGGCUUCCCUAGCAAAUGAAUCUGGAAGGGCGCAGGGGAGGGGGCACGGCGAGUUCAGAUGGACCGAGGCUGGAAGCUGACGCGGUUGGAGGGGGAUGGGUGUAGCUGUUGGCAGUGGCGCUGGGGUGGAAGUGUGUGGGGUCACAGAUGUGUAAGGGUGGGCGCGGAGCAGACCCCCGAAGGUCCCUGAGGUCAGGCUGAGGCAUUGGACCAAAUCCGUACAUAGGCAUUUCUCUGAACUGCGCGCCACCUUUUGAGUGCCAUCUGUUUCCGUCCAGGACUCUGAUACAACUAUCCAGUCCGCUGCAGGGACCGGUCACUGUGUCACACAUUCUGUACACAGAUACAGCGAUAAAAUGAAAUGACUGGAACUUAAAUGUGAAAACUCUUUACAACACCAAUGAAGAAGGGUUUCUGUUGCUCCACAUUUCUGCCAGCAUUUGGUGGUGCCAGCAUUUUGGAUUUGGCAUUCUAAUAGGUAUGUAGUGGUGUCUUGUUUU
rnacentral:lncRNA from 1 species